CAACACAGUGCACAGCAGGAUUAGAGCAGACGGGCUGGGGGUCCCAAUGCGACAGGAAGGAGAGAGAGAGAAAGAGAGAGAGAGAGAGAGAGACAGAGACAAAGGAAGAAGUAAGAAAAAAAGAACAACAGCUAGAGGAAAAAAAACAGAGAUGUGGAGCACAGAAUGAUUCCAGUGUAACCAGGAAGUACCAACGGAGGUGCGCAGAGGUGUUGAUUACUUCGCUGGCACCUUUCAGCUUUAGCUGCUUUUUUGUGACUACAUUCUAUGCGGUUUGCAUUCAGCUGACGAUCCAAAAUACAAAUCUCUAGUGACAUGCGUCAUCUGCUUAACAGACGCCACAUUUUAAGAGGACACUCCAGUAAAAUUAUAUGGAUAUGGUUUGUGAUUGGUGAUGAGGGGGAGGUGAUAAAAAAAAAAAAAAGGAUUUACGAGUCUCUAGGACCACACCGCAAAGUUACCUCAUUAAACACAAUCGUUUUUUGGCUUUUUCUCCCUUUUUUUUUUUAAACUAAGUGUGUUGCAAAACUGUUCAUACUCCUGGAACUUUUUCCUGUUUACAACCACAAAUUCUGUUGUAGUUCAUUGGUGCUUAAUGGAACAGAAUAACAUGAAGUAGAACAUGAGGGGAAGGAAAUGCUUGUUUGUUUUUUGUUGUCACCUGAAAACUGUGGAAAUCAUUUGCAUCUUUCUCUAAAUCUUUGGAGCUGGAGCUCUCCAGUUACUAACCUGCUGACACUUUUCAGAUUUCUAUUUGCUAAAACAAAAUCAGAUCAUGCAUGUUUUUCCUUUCGCUUCACAGUGACACUUUGUGAUCCCCAUAAACUCCAACAAAAAAAA